GACGAACGCUGGCGGCGUGCCUAAUACAUGCAAGUCGAGCGGACCACUUCGGUGGUCAGCGGCGGACGGGUGAGUAACACGUGGGCAACCUGCCUGUAAGACUGGGAUAACACCGGGAAACCGGUGCUAAUACCGGAUAAUCCUUUCCUUCACAUGAGGGAAAGCUGAAAGACGGUUUCGGCUGUCACUUACAGAUGGGCCCGCGGCGCAUUAGCUAGUUGGUGAGGUAACGGCUCACCAAGGCAACGAUGCGUAGCCGACCUGAGAGGGUGAUCGGCCACACUGGGACUGAGACACGGCCCAGACUCCUACGGGAGGCAGCAGUAGGGAAUCUUCCGCAAUGGACGAAAGUCUGACGGAGCAACGCCGCGUGAGCGAUGAAGGCCUUCGGGUCGUAAAGCUCUGUUGUCAGGGUAGAACAAGUACCGGAGUAACUGCCGGUACCUUGACGGUACCUGACCAGAAAGCCACGGCUAACUACGUGCCAGCCGCCGCCGUAAUAC
rnacentral:rRNA from 1 species